rnacentral:rRNA from 1 species
UACGGGGGGGGCAAGCGUUGUUCGGAAUUACUGGGCGUAAAGGGCUCGUAGGCGGCCAACUAAGUCAGACGUGAAAUCCCCGGGCUCAACCUGGGAACUGCGUCUGAUACUGAUUGGCUUGAAUCCGGGAGAGGGAUGCAGAAUUCCAGGUGUAGCGGUGAAAUGCGUAGAUAUCUGGAGGAAUACCGGUGGCGAAGGCGGCAUCCUGGACCGGCAUUGACGCUGAGGAGCGAAAGCCAGGGGAGCAAACGGG